GCCCGAGUGGCGGAAUUGGUAGACGCAGCGGACUUAAAAUCCGUUGGCCGCAAGGCCGUGGGGGUUCAAGUCCCCCCUUGGGCA
rnacentral:tRNA from 1 species